rnacentral:rRNA from 1 species
CAGCCGCCGCGGUAAUACGAAGGGGGCUAGCGUUGCUCGGAAUGACUGGGCGUAAAGGGCGCGUAGGCGGAUUGUUUAGUUAGGCGUGAAAUUCCUGGGCUUAACCUGGGGACUGCGCUUAAUACAGGCAGUCUAGAGUGAGGAAGAGGGUUGUGGAAUUCCCAGUGUAGAGGUGAAAUUCGUAGAUAUUGGGAAGAACACCGGUGGCGAAGGCGGCAACCUGGUCCUUGACUGACGCUGAGGCGCGAAAGCGUGGGGAGCAAACAGGAUUAGAUACCCGGGUAGUCCCUGUCUCUUAUAC